CGGGGCAGCGGGCGGGGCCCGAGCCCGCCAUAGGCGGGCUGGUGAGGCUCGGCGUCCUCGCCGUGGGCGGUCAUUUCGCCCUUGACCUGA
rnacentral:tRNA from 1 species